GCCUGAGCUCAAUGUUGAUCUUAUUAUCAGGUUACCCAAGGGGUGUUUCCACGAGAAAGAUUACUUAAAUUAUAGGUACCAUGCCAAAAGGUGCCUUUAUCUCUGCUUGAUCAAGAAGUACUUGGAGGCUUCUCCAUCUAUUGGUAAGGUUGAA